AAGAAGAUAGGCCCACCAGUAGCUUGAGAAGGGAAAUUGUCUCCUCUUUGAAGCUGCUUCACCCUCAAACAGAAAUGCCGUUCCGAGUUGCGCCAUAGACUCUACGAUCAUGAGGGAAAGGUAACUAUCAAGAUGGACAUGAUUUCAAAGUCACUUUCAACCUGAAGGUUAAAUGCAAAUAGUCUGUGAAGAUAAAUGACUUACAAAAUCUUGUAUUCUGUUUCCGGCAAAGGCUCCCUAGGCACAGCUGAUGCCUGCUCAUGCAGCCCCACCUCUGAACGCUUCCACCAUGCCCAGCUAGAUUUGGGUUCCACCAUCAGAAAAUCCACAUAACCCCACCUUAAGCCUCCUACUUUUUAUUUUUAUUACUUGGGAAGAGUAAC